GCACUGCUGGUGGGAGUGUUGGUGCAUCAGUGUCGGUCCAAGAGAAGGCCUUUACGUGAGCCAAUAGAGGAGACGACAGGACCACGUUAUCCCGUGUAAACACCGAGGCAGGAAAGACCUAUGACAUGGAGGAAGACGCCAUGGCAGAGUGAACUGUUACUCCACUGCUGGUUUGGU